UACAAUCUGCGGUGUACGGAGUUCGACGCUUUUGCGGAAUCCACAUUAUUUAUUCGGGAGCGGUUAUUCUCGGCGAUAGACAAGGUCUGUAUUUAUACGGAAAGUUCGAGGCGUCAAGAUGCGGCACCCACCUGCUUAUCGCGGGUUCACCCUUCGUCGAGGUGCGGCACAGGCGGAUUCUUU
rnacentral:other from 1 species